AGUUUCAAUUAAGACGGGGCCAACUCAACAUGAAAUUUGAGUAUUAUCAUAUUUUACGUGAAAUUGGAUUGACGAAGAAAAUUUCCAUCUGAGGUAACGAAAGUUUGUAUGGAUAAAACUUAGGCAGUCCUUGCUGUCUCUCAAUUCGUUGCAACCGGACGCUUAUCCAAAGCAUCUUCGCUCCACGUGUCCUGUCUCUUCUAUGAGUUACUACAAAUUAAACGGGUCAUGGGCCAAGCGGCAACAUAUCCAGUGAGGGUCUAAACCUUAGCACUGAAGAACGCAGAAACUGUGCUUCCAAUGGACACCGGUAACACUCCAAUGGCAAGCCUAGCCUCACAAAUAUGCGAUCAUAUUGCCUCCAUCUUCUCCAAACCCACUGCCCACCCAGCUGUCUUAGACCUAAUGGUAGCAGAGUUGACCUCCAUAGCGUCCCAAAAGGGUCGCGUCUUUCUCUAUGGAGUAGGCCGAGAAGGUCUAAUGCUAAAGGCCCUGUGCAUGCGCCUGGCGCAUCUGGGUCUGUCUGCCCACUCGGUCUUCGACAUGACCACUCCCCCCAUCACCUCCAAAGACCUUCUCAUAGCCUCAGCUGGCCCUGGAGGAUUCUCCACCGUCGAUGCCCUAUGCUCGGUGGCACGAUCCCAUGGUGGUAGAGUGUUGCUGCUGACUGCCCGGCCUGAGACAGGAUCCAGUGUGAAGCAUGCUAACGUAGUGGCUUAUGUACCAGCACAGACAAUGGCCGAUGAUAAGGAGGAUGGGGGUGGGGAGAAAUCAAGGACGUUGCUGCCUAUGGGGAGUGUUUACGAGGGGGCCAUGUUCGUGUUGUUUGAGAUGGUGGUGUACAAGUUGGGUGAGGCUUUGGGAGAGAGUCCUGAAGCCAUCCGAGGUCGUCAUACCAAUCUUGAGUGACUCAAAGUCUGGUAGGGAGACAUUCGUAGGUGUCUCAUCCUCAUGAAAACCUGGGAAAAGCAGAGAUUAUUCGGAGUACUUGUGCUGAACUUUGGGGAUUCUGAAGCUCUAAAUUUAGCCUUAUUAGAAAGAAACAUUAUACUUUGCCAAUUUCACCGAGGAACUUGGACUCUGAGGUUGUGGUGACUCUACGAGGAAAGGGUGUGGUUUUAUCCCUUGAGCACAAUCAUCUGUUAUUCCUAAGCUUUCCCUCAAGCUAUCCGAUAGAGAUACCAAAAAUACCAAAUGCAUCAGAGCCUGUUGUAUGCGUAUUGUGUUAAACUUAAUCUGUUUGUUGAUUAUGCAGGGGUCUUGUGCCCCUGCCUUCUGUUAACACAUUCUGAGGCAGUUUGAUACUGUCAAACUUAAAGCCAAAAAAAAGAUAAACAAAAACUACUCCAAGUUUGCUGCAAAACAAAGAAAUCUGAACGCUUUUACUCUAGGGACCCUUGUUCUUCGGCGAAGAUGAAAGAGGAGGGAUACUUUGUUCAUUCUUAAAGAAAUUUUCAGGAUCAACCAUGGUCUUUACAUGUACCAAUCUGUUGAAGUUAUUCUUAAAAUAUUUCAAACCCCAAAUGCUAGCUUGUGCAUAACUUGUGUAGCCGACGUUAUUGGUUCCAAUAUCUAGAUCUCUGUAAUUAAAAUAUGCUUCUCGCGGAGAUUUUGAAACGUAA